rnacentral:tRNA from 1 species
GGCGGCGUAGCCAAGUGGUAAGGCAGAGGACUGCAAAUCCUUUAUCGACGGUUCGAUUCCGUCCGCCGCCUCCA